CACUCCUGCGGGCGGCAGCAGUGGGGAAUUUUGGACAAUGGGCGAAAGCCUGAUCCAGCAAUGCCGCGUGCAGGAUGAAGGCCUUCGGGUUGUAAACUGCUUUUGUACGGAACGAAAAAGCUCCUUCUAAUACAGGGGGCCCAUGACGGUACCGUAAGAAUAAGCACCGGCUAACUACGUGCCAGCAGCCGCGGUAAUACGUAGGGUGCGAGCGUUAAUCGGAAUUACUGGGCGUAAAGCGUGCGCAGGCGGUUAUGUAAGACAGAUGUGAAAUCCCCGGGCUCAACCUGGGAACUGCAUUUGUGACUGCAUGGCUAGAGUACGGUAGAGGGGGAUGGAAUUCCGCGUGUAGCAGUGAAAUGCGUAGAUAUGCGGAGGAACACCGAUGGCGAAGGCAAUCCCCUGGACCUGUACUGACGCUCAUGCACGAAAGCGUGGGGAGCAAACAGGAUUAGAAACCCUAGUAGUCCCAUG
rnacentral:rRNA from 1 species